CCACGCCGUAAACGAUGAGUGCUAGGUGUCGGGAGUCAAAUCUCGGUGCCGCAGUUAACGCAAUAAGCACUCCGCCUGGGGAGUACGUACGCAAGUAUGAAACUCAAAGGAAUUGACGGGGGCCCGCACAAGCAGUGGAGUAUGUGGUUUAAUUCGAGGCAACGCGAAGAACCUUACCAGGGCUUGACAUCCUCUGACCGCCUAAGAGAUUAGGUUUCCCUUCGGGGCAGAGAGACAGGUGGUGCAUGGUUGU
rnacentral:rRNA from 1 species